CCUACGGGAGGCAGCAGUGAGGAAUAUUGGUCAAUGGGCGGAAGCCUGAACCAGCCAAGUAGCGUGCAGGAUGACGGCCCUACGGGUUGUAAACUGCUUUUCUCCGGGAAUAACGCGCCUUACGUGUAGGUCUUUGCAUGUACCGUAUGAAUAAGGACCGGCUAAUUCCGUGCCAGCAGCCGCGGUAAUACGGAAGGUCCGGGCGUUAUCCGGAUUUAUUGGGUUUAAAGGGUGCGUAGGCGGCAGGUCCAGCGUGCUGUGAAAUGUCCGGGCUCAACCCGGGCCUUGCAGCGCGAACUGGCGUGCUUGAGUCCGCGGAAAGCAGGCGGAAUGCGUCGUGUAGCGGUGAAAUGCUUAGAUAUGACGAAGAACCCCGAUUGCGAAGGCAGCUUGCUGCAGCGGAACUGACGCUGAUGCUCGAAAGCGCGGGUAUCGAACAGGAUUAGAUACCCCGGUAGUC
rnacentral:rRNA from 1 species